CCGACUCUGGGAUAAGCACUGGAAACGGUGUCUAAUACCGGAUACGAGCUUCAGUCGCAUCUAGGAGCUGGAAAGAAUUUCGGUCUGGGAUGGACUCGCGGCCUAUCAGCUAGUUGGUGGUAAUGGCUCACCAAGGCGACGACGGGUAGCCGGCCUGAGAGGGUGACCGGCCACACGGACUGAGACACGGCCCAGACUCCUACGGGAGGCAGCAGUGGGGAAUAUUGCACAAUGCGCAAGCCUGAUGCAGCAACGCCGCGUGAGGGACGACGGCCUUCGGGUUGUAAACCUCUUAGUAGGGAAGAAGCGAAAGUGACGGUACCUGCAGAAAAAGCACCGGCUAACUACGUCAGCAGCCGCGGUAAUACGUAGGGUGCAAGCGUUAUCCGGAAUUAUUGGGCGUAAAGAUCGUAGGCGGUUUGUCGCGUCUGCCGUGAAAACUGGAGGCUCAACCUCCAGCCUGCGGGGUACGGGCAGACUAGAGUGCGGUAGGGGAGAUUGGAAUUCCUGGUGUAGCGGUGAAACGCAGAUAUCAGGAGGAACACCGAUGGCGAAGGCAGAUCUCUGGGCCGUAACUGACGCAGGAGCGAAAGCAUGGGGAGCGAACAGGAUUAGAUACCCUGGUAGUCCAUGCCGUAAAUUGGGAACUAGAUGUAGGGACCAUUCCACGGUUUCUGUGUCGCAGCUAACGCAUAAGU
rnacentral:rRNA from 1 species